rnacentral:lncRNA from 1 species
ACUGGUUUUGCCCUUCUUGUGGUUCAAAAUGUCACUGUGUCACACAGCUUUCAGGUGUCCUCACUCAUACUUCUGUUUAGAUGGAGCUUGGAGUCACAGCAGAUGCUUCUGCUUGGCACCUCAGGAUUCUGGAAUCCAGCUGACUCUGCUCUGUGUAUGACCUGCCAGAGCUGGGAUUAUGGUGCCAGUCAGGUCUGCCCCGGGAUCAGCAGCCUGAACAGCACUUGGGGAAUAGGCCACAUCUUUCUUGACAGAACUUGCAAUCGGCCCUGA